AUUGAACGCUGGCGGCAGGCCUAACACAUGCAAGUCGAGCGAGCGGCGGACGGGUGAGUAAUGUAUGGGGACUGCCCGAUAGAGGGGGAUAACUACUGGAAACGGUGGCUAAUACCGCAUACUAUCGGAUAACCCAUAUGGGAUUAGCUAGUAGGUGGGGUAAAGGCUCACCUAGGCGACGAUCUCUAGCUGGUCUGAGAGGAUGAUAAGCGACACUGGGACUGUGAAACGGACCAGAGGCCGAGGGCGGCAGCAGGGGAGAAGAUGGCACAAUUGGCGCAAGCAUGAUGAAGCCAUGCCGCGUGUAUGAAGAAGGCAUGAGGGUUUUAAAGUACUUGACGCGUGGAGGCGUUACCCGCAGAAGAAGCACCGGCUAACUCCGUGCCAGCCGCCGCGGUAAUAC
rnacentral:rRNA from 1 species